rnacentral:lncRNA from 1 species
GGUUUAUAGUCAGAAGGCCUUAUUUCAAAUACUGUGCAUUCUUAUAAGCUAUAUGACAACUUUGUAUACCUCUGCCUCACUCAAAUUUAAUCAGAUACAAGUUAUGACAUCACCCCAUAAUGUUUUUGAACCUCUUUGAAUGAAUGAUGAACACCACCAUCACUACCACCACCACCAACAAUAACAAGAUAAUUCCUAAGCUCCUGUCCAGAUCUAGUAUCCUAUUAUACUGCUCCAACUCCAUCAUCUUCCAUAUGUGAAAACUGAGGCCCAGACAACAAAAGUGACUUUUCUAAGAUCAUACAACAGAUCCUGGAAUAGAACUCUGGUGUCUCGACUCAUUGUCUAGUUUGAUUUCCUUUAUAAAAUAGCAACUGGAGUCCCUAAAGGUGUAGGAUUAGAGACUGAACUGGGAAAAUCCUCAGACGUCAUUUAUUAAAACUCUUAUUUUACAGAUAUGGAACUGAGAUCCAACAAGGAGAAGAAAUUUGUCCAAGGCUGUACAGCUGCUAGAAUCUAAACUCAUAUCCACUAACAUAAAAUUCUGUGUACAAUUUUUCUAAUUUUCAUGACCCCAAUCUGAGUCACUAACUGGGAUAGAUCUGGGAAGGAAAGAGAAAUUUCAACAUAGCACUCAACACCAGGAUGUAUGGUUUCAUUGUCAUCUGAAAGGAAUCUUGUGUUCUGUCUCAACUGAAUGGAUAAGGAAUAAAUCUGAGGCCCAGACGAGUGAGAUGAAUUGCCUUGACUCCAAAUUGAAUUGUCUUUCCAUUAUACAGAAUGGCUCAUCAAAAAAUUUCAUCCCUUUGGUUGUUUAGCUUAGAUUUUCUAGAGUUUUAGAAAAUCUUUUCCUUACUACAACUUUGUGAUAUAGAUAAUAGAAGUACUAUGACACCAUUUUAUAGGUGAGAAAGGGUAGCUAGAUAGCACAGUGGAUAAAUCCCUGGGCUUGAAAUCAGGAAGACAUCUUCCUAAGUUCAAAUCAUUUCAUUUAACCUCUGUCUGCCUCAGUUUCC